CGGACCUAGGGGCGCUGAAAGGAGAGCCGGGCGCGGAGAGGAGUGGAGUAGGGCACCAGCCGCUAGGCUUGCGUGCGUGCGGGUGGCGGCAGCAGCGGUGACUGAGGAGGAGGUGGAGGAGAAGAAAGAAGAAAAGGAUAGGAAAGGAGAGGCAACGAGGCGCGGCCGGGGUGAUGGUGCAGGUGCCUGGAGCCGGCGCCGUGCUGCCCCAUUGAGGGGCGCCUGUUCUGGUCCGGGUCCGCAGCAGCGCCGCCGCUGCCGCCGCCGCGUCGCUCCCGGGGGCGGGCUGGCUGGCGGACGGGCGGGAAGAUGCUGAGCAGGUUGAUGAGCGGCAGCAGCAGGAACCUGGAGCGCGAGUACAGCUGCACCGUGCGGCUCCUGGACGACAGCGAGUACACCUGCACCAUCCAGAUAACCCUUGCAUCGAAUCCCUCAGAGGGUGACUUGAAGAGAAGUGAUGAUGGUUUUCUUUCUGCCCAAUCAUUUUGUCAACUUUGGAUAAGUAAACCAAGAGCUAUGAUGUGUUUCUGAUACCUUUUGAAAAUGGAUAAUGAAACCCUGACUAUAGUUACUUAUAACAGCCUAGAAAAUCUGCCAUAUUUUCUGCAUGUUUACAUAUGGAGCAAUAACAGUAAAUGAAAACUUACUGAAACUACUUCUAGUCUUUUUUGGGGAUUGAGACUAUUUCUGAAGUAUUGAUUAUAUCAUGAAUGCCUUACAGUAUUCCAAAACCACUAUAGAGUUGGAUUAUCAUUAGAAGAAUUGAAAAUACUACAUUUGUUGUUGGUUUGGUUGCAUCACAGGGUCAAAUCUCAAGCACUGUCAUGACCUUUAUAAUAGCCUAUUCAGUGAAAAGCAAUAGGCAUUUAUUCAGCAUGCUUUAAUUCACACAGAAGGCUAGAUGGCACGACUUCAACUGUGCAUGGAAGGGAGUAUGGAAAGAGAAGAAAGAGCAACCAGGGAAGGACACUAAGAAACCUUCUCCUCUUUCCUCCAAGUAGGUUGGCUGCUGACUCUUCUAAGGUGGAAUAAGGACAUGGAAGGGUUCAAUCAGGGAUGUUACCAAAGCUUUGGGCUCUAUGAGCUUCAAGUCACAGCAGGAGUAGAAUGUUAUCCAUGAAGAGACUUUUUUCUGUAAUGGCAAUAUGCCAAGCUCUUGUCAGUCUUCCUUUGAUGGAUGUUACUCUUUCAACUCCAUCAGAGCGGCUUGGAAAAUGGACAUGAGGACUAAGGAUUUUUAGGGAAAAGUCAGGGUCUUAGUUGAUUCCCUAAAAGGCCAGAAGUUUCUAACAUGGAAGGUUCCAUACAUAGAAUAUUCUAGAAAAGGGAAUGUGCCAAUAAGGAGAAGGGGAAAUAUGUAUAAAAGAAGAGCCAAUCUAUUGCAACCACAAAUUUCCUCAUAAAAUAUGAAUGACAAGGCUAAUAGUAAAAAAGGUUUUAUUUCUUCAAAUAAUUUUAAUUUUUUGUUAUUCCAAACUUAACACCAAUAAACAUUUUAAUAUGCAAAUGACA
rnacentral:lncRNA from 1 species